UUUAGAUUCUUAGGAGUAUGAUUUGUAAAGAAGUUCCGGAAGACAGAUGUUGUAUGACAAAGGAGAGGAUUUUUUAUUAAGGUAAAAUUUGCAUACAGUAAGAAGUACAGAUCUUAAGUUUACAAUGAGUUUGUCAAGUGUAUACAACUGUGUAAACACCCCAUCAACAUGCAGAACACAUCACCCCAGAAAGCUCUCCUGCUACUUUCCAACCAAUCCCCUCUUGCCAAGGCAUUCACUGUUUUGCCAUCUAUUAUAACAGUUUUGUCUGUUUUUGAACUCUGCAUAAAUGGAAUCACAUAGCUUGAACUCAACUUUGUCAUCUUUGGCACAUUACGUUUCAGAGAUUAUGUUGUGUGUAUCAGCAGCUCAUUUUUUUUUUUUUUUUUUGCUAAUACUCCAUUUUAUGAAUAUUCUCUAAUUCAAAUGAUCUAUCCUUGAAGGGAGAUUUGAUUUUGCUUUCCAAUUAGCAUUCUUUGACAGGUUAGUUGCAAAUGCAAAUACCUUUCUUCUGAAUUUCUCUAAUGCAAGGAAGUAAAACCAGAGAGAAAAGUCUCACCUCUUCUUCAUCUACUUUUAUAAAACUUAACAAGGAUAAACAGAUAAUGUAGUGAUCCUAAUAGGUAGUGAAAUAACAUGAGCUCCCUUAUCUCCCUUUCCAAUCUUAAAGAGGGUCUUCCCUGUAUUGCCUGUGAGGUACCAUUUCUUUCCUUUCCUUUCCAGUCUCGCUCUGUCGCCUAGUUUGAACAAAGAUGCACUUUGAGUUGUCAUAACAUUUACCAGUUAUAUACUGGUACUGGUUAAAAGAACACAGUCCUGCAAGUUGUCAGCUGGUUCGCGUCAAUGAUAAAAAGAGACUAAUGGCAUCCCUUUCAGCAAAGGGCAGGAGAAGAGAACUAACCUUGUGCUAUUUAACCUAUUUUUUUUAAAUGUAGAAAUCACUUCUAAGAGUGGCCUUAAUAUUCCAUUCCUGGCCGGGCGCGGUG
rnacentral:lncRNA from 10 species